UACGAAGGGGGCUAGCGUUGUUCGGAUUUACUGGGCGUAAAGCGCACGUAGGCGGAUCGUUAAGUCGGGGGUGAAAUCCUAGAGCUCAACUCCAGAACUGCCUUCGAUACUGGCGAUCUUGAGUCCGGAAGAGGUGAGUGGAACUCCUAGUGUAGAGGUGGAAUUCGUAGAUAUUAGGAAGAACACCAGUGGCGAAGGCGGCUCACUGGUCCGGUACUGACGCUGAGGUGCGAAAGCGUGGGGAGCAAACAGG
rnacentral:rRNA from 1 species